GUAUUCCAUGCCCACCUCCACCUGUUGAAAGUUGCCUGACUAAAGAGAUGGGCGCAUACAUUAUAAUUGCAUUCAGGAGCACAUUAACAUUCCAACCCUUGUCUGAGAAAGUGAAGAUGAGUGAAGGCUCCGGAGGAGAGGGCAAAGAAGCGGGGAAGGGCAAUGGUGGAGGAGGGAAACACGGCCAUGGGGAUGGGGAAGGAGGAAGAGGUGGCGAGCAUGGUAGAGGAGGUGAACACGGAGGAAGAGGAGAUUGUGGCGGACAUUAAAGAUAUGAUCAUGCAUCUGUUGUCAACACGUAUUACAAAUAAAACAGUUUGGGCGAUUUAGUAAAGUUGACAAAUCUCGAAUAAAACGUACUUAUAAAACCGAACAAAAUAAUUGUAUAACUUCUUAAUGCAUAAGCAAAUAUUAAUGCAAUGGCAUAUCUAAACAGGACAUCUUAUGUCAGAGGCAGUGAGACGCACCACUAUCAUUCUUACCAUUCCUGUGUAUGCCAGAUUGCCCAGAUCAAACACUCAAAGAAGUCAUUCUUAUCAUUUUAGCCCGGAACAUUUGUCUCACCUUGCACCACUUAUGUUUAUCCCUUGUUAUCAAUCCUUUCCACAACAUUUCAGGGGAAAAAAUCCAAAACAAAUGUUUCAGUGUUCAACAAAAAGCCCACAGCAUUGAUACAGUAAAAGGGCCAAUUUCCUCUCAUGUUUAAUGGUCCUUGCAUUACAUUUUAGUCAUUUAGCAGACGCUCUUAUCCAGAGCGACUUACAGUUAGUGAGUGCAUAC